CCCUUAGAUGUUCUGGGCCGCACGCGCGCUACAAUGAAAAAUUCAACAAGUUUUCCUGCUUUGAAGAAAGUGGGUAAUCAUUGCAAUCUUUUUCGUGCUAGGGAUAGACCUUUGUAAUUGUUGGUCUUGAACGAGGAAUUCCUAGUAAGCGCAAGUCAUUAACUUGUACUGAUUACGUCCCUGCCCUUUGUACACACCGCCCGUCGCACCUACCGAUUGGAUGGUCCGGUGAGGAGUCGGGAUUGUAGCUUGGAUCCUUCAUUGGGCUCAGGCCGCGAGAACCUCUCCAAACCUUAUCAUCUAGAGGAAGGUGAAGUCGUAACA
rnacentral:rRNA from 1 species